rnacentral:miRNA from 1 species
UUGUUUUCCUUCUGCACUCCCGGC